rnacentral:rRNA from 1 species
UACAGAGGGUGCGAGCGUUAAUCGGAAUUACUGGGCGUAAAGCGCACGUAGGUGGCGACGUAAGUCGGGUGUGAAAGCCCCGGGCCCAACCUGGGAAUUGCAUUCGAGACUGCAUUGCUGGAGUACGGAAGAGGAGGGCGGAAUUCCCGGUGUAGCGGUGAAAUGCGUAGAUAUCGGGAGGAACAUCAGUGGCGAAGGCGGCCCUCUGGUCCAGUACUGACACUCAAGUGCGAAAGCGUGGGGAGCAAACAGG